UAUAUACUAGUAAACAUCACAUCUGUGGCCCAUUUUUUCAUUUAUUAUACUCAUAAACCUUGACAACAUUUAAUAUCUGCUUGCUAUUUAAUAACAUAUACAAUUUUUCAUGAUAUUAAACCUGUAAUCUGGAUUCUCCGGCCCUGACAUCUGAAACCUAAGUGCUUAGAUACCUGGUGUUAUAUGGAUACAGUGAAAAAUUGAACACAGCUUCUUGAAAGAUCUAUCAAAAAAGGAUUCAUUUUGAAAUAAGUAGUUAUGGCAUGGCAGAUAGGAAGAACAUCAACUUUUGCCUCUUUAAUCUUGGCAUGAAAUAAUAUAAUUAAAGUGAUAAAGUACAAAAUGUAAUUCUCUUGCUUUCUUUAAAAGUAUUAUUUUUGUUGGAAACACCACAAAACAAAUGUUUAUAAGAUAAUUAUGUGUUCACCAAAUGUUCAUACGCUCAUUAAAUAUCUGCCUCUGUGGAGGAGUAUAAACAUGUGCCGUUCUCAUGGAUAACUGCCCAUUUUAGCCCUCACUUGGCAAACAGAAUACAAACAAAGUGUUUCAUGCUUAGCAGGCAAAACAAAAAAGAACAGAAAGUUAUAUAGGCCUACAAGCAAUGGAUUUAACCUUUUAGUUUAAAUAGCCUUAAACUUCCCUCUUUCAAAAAACAAAGGUUUGAUCACAAGGAAAAAGUGAUGGAUAGACAGAUACCACAGCACCUUAAAUUCAUUUUGCGUGCAUAGACUUUCUUCUCUUCAAUGAUUCUGUUCUAUCCAAAUUGGGACAAACAUUCCGUUAAGACAAACCAUGCUCUUAUAGAAAUUAUCUACACUAGUUGACUUGAUGGCCCAAAAAUGUUCAGCUCAUGUACAAAAGAGUUUUACAAUUUGCUUCUAGUUGAACUUCACACACAUAAAAACAAAACCAAAAUGAGGAAGAUUGAAAUCUGUACCUUAAAUGUUUUACUUAUUUUAAUGUAUGAAUUUUUAAAAAGGUAACAUUCAGCAACAAUAUAGUUGAAUUUCAGUAAAGCAAGAAUAUGAAAGUAGAUGCAUUCUCUAUGUACAACCAUCUUUUUUGCAUUUUUUGCAUUUUUAAAUUUGAAUGUCCCAAAAGGCAUGGCUAACUAAUAAUACUAUCAAUCUCAUUUUACCCAUUUCAUUUGACACUAUAUAUAGCAGACAUUGUCCAUUUAUCUCCUUUGUGGGCCUCUUUCUCUUUCUAAAUUCAUUCCAUACUCAAGGACAAUGAUAUACAGCUGUUUUCCUCCCACAUAAAAUUACCACGCCCCAUGAGGCUACACUGACAGAGCCAAGAAAAGCAGAGGGCUGUGUACUCAUUGAGUUAAAUGAAUGACAUCACACUAUCAGUCAAGACAAUUCAGGCAAGGGCGAAGUGUUGGGAUUUUCCAAAACCAACAAAAAGUGUGCAACUGUUCUAUAAACAAGGCUGGGCAGAGUUCAAAAGUUGAAUUGUGCUGGCAAUGAUUACUGUAAUCACAAGGCAUUCCUCAGCACUCGUCAUAGAAAUAAACCAUAACAGUCACAGCAUCUAAUGUCUCUGGCCAUCAUCUAGUGAAAGAUUUCACUUGCCAUACGUGCAGAAGCAGAAAACCCAUCAAAUGAGUGACCAGGAAGCUGGGCCACUAACUUCAAUUUUCUCUGUUUCUUUGAACCACAUGCUCCCAAGAGUUCCUGACUGGUGACUGAGUUAGACACUUAGUUGUAGAGUAUCUGCUCUGACACUAAUAUCUUAUACAUUAUUGAGAGCUGAUUAUUAAAAGGGUACUGAUUCUGAGUUUUAAGCUAUUGUCCAUUGACCAGAGUUAGGCAGUCACUUCAGACAGAACUAUGGGCAGGUUCUUAUAAUUUUAAUGCAGUACCUAUUUAAAGGUAUCAAAUUUAUUCCUCUAUCAGAACAAUAAAGCCAAAUUAAUUUUGCCCACUGAUUAAGCACUUAGCAGUCAUGCUCUGUUUCACCACAAACACAGACACAUAAAAUGCAUUCAUAUCAUCACAAAAGUGUAAUGGCACAAAGGGAAAGAGUACAUAUUAUAGCUGUUAACAAUAUGACUUUGAAUUUACUCCCAGCUCCUCCCACAUGUAACCUUGAGCAAGACAUUUACUAUCUCUAAGCAUCAUUUUCUGCAUUUUAAAAUGGGUACAAUGCCUCUGCCUCUGUGGAGUAAAAACAUGUGUUGUUCUCAUGGAUUACUGCCCAUUUUAGCCUUCACUUGAUAAACAAUAUGAAGUGUUUCACGCUUAGCAGUCAAAAAAAAGGACAGAAAGUUAUACAGGCCUACAAACAAUGAAUUUAAUCUUUCAGUUUAAAUAGCUUUAAACUUUCCUCUUUCAAGAAACAGAGGUUUGAUCAAGAGGAAAAAGUGACGGACAAUAGAUACCACAGCAUUUUAAGUUCAUUUUGCAUGCAUUGGCUUUUUUCUCCUCAAUGAUUUUAUUCUAGGAAUUUUUCUGUCUAAAUUGGGACAGAUAUUUGUUGGGGAUUAAAUUAUACAAUGCAAUAUAGUACCUACUAAAUUGGAAUGUACUAAACACUCAAAAAAUGCCACCUAGUAGUAGUGGUGGUAAUAUACGUGGUGGUCUACAUAUACUAUGAUACUCCGCUCACCAAAAUGUGGAAAUUGAUCUUUCUUUCCUUGAAUAUGCGUGAGCCUUACUGAUUCGCUUUUGUUAAAUAGUAUAUGGUAGCAAUGAUGCCAUGAGAUUUCUGGUGUUAUAAGAGGCAAAUACAGCUUCUACUUUGCUCUCUCUCUCUCUCUCUCUUUCUCUCUCUCCCUCUCUCUCUCUCCCUCUCUUUCUCUCUCUCUCUUUUACUGCAUGUCCUUGGAAUGUACACACUGCCAUAUAUAUAUAUGUUCCAGCUGACAGCCCCAUCUAAGGUUUCAACCUACAGCCAACAUCGACUGCCAGACAUGUGAAUGAGACAUCAUAUGAUUCUAGCCUUCAUUCAGCGUUUAAACUUCCCUUAGCUGACACCAAGUAGAGCAGAAAUGAGUUGUUCUCUCUAAGUCCGUCCAAAUUGCAGAUUCAUGAGAAAAAUAAUGUUGUUGCUGAGGUUAAGCCACUAAAUUUGAGAGUUGUUUGUUAAAUAGCGAAAAACAAGUGGAACAUCAUCUAAACAACGUGGGGACUUAACCAUAUCUCACUUGAUGCCUAUAACAACUCUAAAAGACAGAUAUGAUCAGUAACGCCUUUUAUAGAUUUGGACAACUGAAAUUCAGAGGCACUAACUACUUUAUACCACAUCACUUAACUAGUAGGUGAUGGAGUGAAAUUUGGACUGAAUCUUUGUCCUAUGUGACAAUACAUAGGAUUCCCCUGAGAUUUUAUUUUCUUUCCUAAGACAAGUUGAUAUCAUAUUUGGUGAUCACAUCUACAGGACUCCCUUACUUUUCUUCCCAAAAUAUUUAUUGACACUCUGCAGAGAGUUUGGGAUACAGAAAAAGAUCUACUCCAUCAAAUAGCUAAUUAUCUAAUAAUAAAGAUGGUUAGAAACUUAUGAUUAAUUGAAAGCCAUAGUUAGCAAAAAAUGGCAAUGACACAACACAAACCAAUAGCAAAUAUUACUCUUGGAGAAUCACUAAAGAACUGGCAAAAAUAGAAAAAUAGUACAACUACGUGGUAGAAGUGUUUGUCAGGCAUGAGGAGAGUUGCUUGGAGCAGAUCAUGGGUCAAAGGAUGAAAUACUAAAAAAAAAGAGCUUUCAUUACUUCUAUCCCUGGGCAAUGGGAACAGUAUAGAAUGGACAAUUUUGAACUAUACAAUGGGAAACAAAUGGCCAUCCGUGGGAAUAAAUAGACAUUUUAUAAUUGGGGGUGGUAAGUAAAGUAAUAUUAAUAAUUCAGGAAACUACACGCAGUGGAAAAGACAUAGAGGGCAAAGACCAGAAACUUAUCUAAAAUCCUAUUAAUAUACUAAAUACACACAUAGCAGUAUAAUAUUUUUUGAAUAUGAACUACUGCUUUCUUUUCUGCCUCUCCCUCCUCCCAUCAGGUUUUUGACCUUAUGCAAUUUUGACCCAAUGAAACAGUGAGAGUUAAUAAAAGUAGCUAUCCUUUAUGGAGAACAAACUAUUAAGCAGGCACAUCCUUAGUGGACUUUACAUUCAUUAUUUUAUUUAGCCCCAAUAACAGUGUUCUGAUGGAGGUAUUGCUAGUGUCCUCAUUUUACAGACGAGGGAACUGAGCCACAAAGGUUCAGAACAUUGCCAAGGUCAAAUUGCCCUUGGUGCUUGGUGGAGAUGGGAUUGGAACCCAGGCUGUCAGUCUCUAAAGGACAUCUUCUUAAUCUCUAAUUUAUAUUGCAUUAUAUAAAGUAUUUACUCUAGUGUUAAUAUCAUUAGAGGACAUCACGAAAGAGAUUUUUUAAUAUUCUUCUAGAUAUUUUAUGGAAAUCAUGCCAGAAAUUCUUUAUAUUCUUUCUCAGAGUGAGCAUGGAUUAUGUCCAUGUCUUUUUUUUUUUUGAAGCAGAGUCUUGCUCUCUCGCCCAGGCUGGAGUGUAGUGGUGCGAUCUGGGCUCACUGCAAGCUCUGCUUCCUGGGUUCACGCCAUUCUCCUGCCUCAGCCUCCCUAGUAGCUGGGACUGCAGGCGCCCACCACCACGCCCAGCUAAUUUUUUUGUAUUUUUCUAGUAGAGACGGGGUUUCACCGUGUUAGCCAGGAUGAUCUCGAUCUCCUGACCUCGUGAUCCGCCCGCCCCAGCCUCCCAAAGUGCUGGGAUUACAGGCGUGAGCCACCGCGCCCAGCCAUGUCCACGUCAUUUUAUCUGUACUUUGCUGAGCGUAUAAUCUCAGGCACCUGGUAUUUGAAAAGUACACUUUCAUAAUGAUAAAUGGAUGUUAGCUAUAAUCAAUACUGCUAAUCUAGGGUAUCUUGUUGUAUAAUUAGCAAUCUAUUUAUGUGUAAAAUAGUUUCUUUAUACCUCUACUGUUAGAAUACAUAAAUAUGAAAAUAAUAAGCAGGAGGUAAUUUUAAGUCAUACUACAUCAAUCCUGGAAAUAUUUUCUUUAGGGAAAUGUUGCAUUUUGCCCAUUGAAAGCCAAAUGACUUUGUGUUGUCAGUGCAAUACAAAGAGUUAUUCUUAUUUCGUAUUUUUUCUCAAUAUGUUAUCAAGCAUAGGAGUGUUUAUAAGGCAGAGAUUUACAGAGCUCAUUGUCAGCUGGAUUUAAGCUUAUAUGUCAACUGGAUGCAUUUUUAUCACUCUAGUGUCUAUAUAGUUGAUAGUUGUAGUCAGAUAACAAUAGAAAAGUAAUAGUGCUGGCAGGCAUACGAUCAAGCUAGGCAAGUUAAAUCUAUCUAAUGAGAAAGAAUUGUCCUCUGUGAAGUACUUAAAACAUUAAACCCAAAACAAUGAGUUUUGUUAGUUUGAAAACCAAGCCAGCACUGCAGCAAAGUGGCUUCACAACAACAACCCACAAAACAGAGUCUCAAACCUUUGACCUACCUAGAACAACUCACUCUGCACCUCUGCCAACAUAGGGCUAGCUAGGGUGAUGUCAGGCAGGGUGGUAACAAUCCCUUAGCAUUCUGUGACCAUUCCACUCCCACUGGGCUCCACCUCAACCACAAUUACCAUAAAUAGGUGUGACAUCCUUGUCCUUUUAUACUGAAGAAUCAAGCUUCUUGGCCACAAGGGUAAGGCAGGGCAGAGACCGCAGUGGGAAGGGCAGGCACAGCAGACUUCUGAUUUUUCACUCCAACCCCUUGUCUUGACUGUAGAAAGCUCCUUGGUGCAGGAAUAAUAAAGGUAACUUUGAAGAGUUCAAGCCCCACUCCUAGUCGUCCAACAGUCCCUUUUGUAAAUGCUCUGGGAGUUUUCUUGUUAUUCAUGCCUCCAAUAAGCUUUCUUCUCUCCUAGAAUAUAAGCAUGGUACAUCUUUUCUUUUUUUCUGAGCCUGCAUGGGUAAGAAGUUUACUCUCUGAGAGGAUAGAUUAGAGCUCAGCAAGCAAAUGGCCGCUUAUUCUUUGCUAAAGACAGUAAUCGCAAAAAGAAAGCUUCCUGUGGCCAUAAUUAGUCACAGGUACUUCAAACCUCUAAAUGAAGAUAAGAUAAACU
rnacentral:lncRNA from 10 species